AACUGAUACUACCUGCGGGAACCUGCGGAAGGAUCAUUAGAGAAUCAUUGAUGUGGAGUGGGCUUUUUUUGCUCCUCCAUGUCAACCCCCCUCUAUUUUCACCCCUUGUGAACUGUUGAUCGGUCGGAGAAUGUGUUUCUUGCAUGUUCUCCGGUCGAGGGUGCUGCAAUUCGAUUCGUCGACUUUGCCACCCGAAUCACCCUUUUGAAAACUCGUUGUGUGUUGAAUGACAACGCCACA
rnacentral:misc_RNA from 1 species